rnacentral:misc_RNA from 1 species
GUUCUGUUUGUAGAUCAAACGCAGGCUUUUUUUUUCUGAAAAUAAUCUUGUAAGCACUUCUUUCAUUUUAAAGUCUUCGGCUUGUAGCUCAAAUAUAUAGCUUCUUUUGUUUGGUUUCUUAAUAUGGAUGAGUUUGGUGUCUUGACGGAGAGUUUUGGGUUAAAACAGCCAGGCAAAUCGGCUCCGAUGGCCUCUUCGAAACGACCCGAUAACACUUCCAAUGCUCAAACCCGAAGUUUCGCUUCGAAUUCAGCUUCAAACCAAAAUUCAUCAUCAUAUGCUUCGAAAUCUCCCCAUAAUUCCAAUUCCCUUAAUGGGUCUUUUUUCGAUGAUCAUGAAGCUCUUU